UACAGAGGGGGCAAGCGUUGUUCGGAAUUACUGGGCGUAAAGGGUGCGUAGGCGGCCUUCUAAGUCGGACGUGAAAUCCCCGGGCUCAACCCGGGAACUGCGUCCGAUACUGGAAGGCUUGAAUCCGGGAGAGGGAUGCGGAAUUCCAGGUGUAGCGGUGAAAUGCGUAGAUAUCUGGAGGAACACCGGUGGCGAAGGCGGCAUCCUGGACCGGCAUUGACGCUGAGGCGCGAAAGCCAGGGGAGCAAACGGG
rnacentral:rRNA from 1 species